GGCUCUGUGUGUGAUGGGAAAGGGGGCUGGGCGAUGACACGUGAUGGGAUCGCCAAGAUUGUAGCAAGGGGAGAGGGGAAUCAAGCUAAUUGUCUAAAGAUCCGCCCCUCCCCCAAGAAAAGUUUCGGCCGGUGCAAAGAAUCACGACCUGAAUUUGAUCCCGAUUUCUCUCUCUAAUCACGGGGGGUUAGGGGUUUCUGAGGUUGAAGACGAUGUGGUUAUUUUCAGAAUUAUCCCCGUAGUUUAUUUUUAUUCUAUAUCACCUAUCUGGACGGCGCGGAAGGACUAAAAGGUCCAAAUUGACUAGCGCACAGCGUCGGCUUCUCCCGUCAGCGGAUCCACACGCGGGGCAACAACAACCAAAUCCGGUGGGCGGACGGGGAACUUGAGGACGGAGGAUGGCGGUGGAGUUCCCCAUCACCUUGCGGGAGCUCUACAGGAACGCCAUCACGAACUGAGUGUUGAAUCCAAAAUCUGGCCCCCAUUUGUUUAUUCAAGGAUGCUUCCUUAAAUGUCUUCAUCCAGUGCUUGGGCCGGCCUUGAGAUAUGAUGCUUGGGAGAUCAGGCGCAUGAAUAUGUCUGUUUUGAUCUGUGAUGUUGCUGUUGUGGUGCAUGCAUGAUCCAUCAUAUGGUUUCAUUGUGUGGAUGAAUUUGUCUCACCCCUGGGAGCACUGUGGAUGGCGCAGGGAAAAAAGGCUAGUGGCUACAUACAUAUUCACUUAUUCAGUC